rnacentral:rRNA from 1 species
GACAGAGGGUGCAAACGUUGUUCGGAAUUACUGGGCGUAAAGCGCGUGUAGGCUGCUUGGAAAGUCGGAUGUGAAAGCCCUGGGCUUAACCCAGGAAGUGCAUUCGAAACUUCCAAGCUCGAGUCCUGGAGAGGGUGGCGGAAUUCUCGGUGUAGAGGUGAAAUUCGUAGAUAUCGAGAGGAACACCGGUGGCGAAGGCGGCUCUCUGGACCGAUACUGACGCUGAGGCGCGAGAGCGUGGGGAGCAAACAGG